GACCUUCAGCUGUGGAUUACUCAACUCCUGCAUCACUGAAGAAUGCAGCUAGCUGUGAGAAUUAAUGUGAAUUGCAGGACACAUUGAUCAUCGACCCUUCCAAUGCACUUGCAGCCUGAGUUCCUCCCAGGGCUAUGCCUGUCUGAGCGUCG
rfam:Nomascus leucogenys chromosome 7b, whole genome shotgun sequence.